rnacentral:rRNA from 1 species
AUUGAACGCUGGCGGCAUGCCUUACACAUGCAAGUCGAACGGUAACGCGGGGCAACCUGGCGACGAGUGGCGAACGGGUGAGUAAUGCAUCGGAACGUGCCCAGUAGUGGGGGAUAGCCCGGCGAAAGCCGGAUUAAUACCGCAUACAACCUACGGGUGAAAGGGGGGGAUCGCAAGACCUCUCGCUAUUGGAGCGGCCGAUGUCAGAUUAGGUAGUUGGUGGGGUAAAAGCCUACCAAGCCGACGAUCUGUAGCUGGUCUGAGAGGACGACCAGCCACACUGGGACUGAGACACGGCCCAGACUCCUACGGGAGGCAGCAGUGGGGAAUUUUGGACAAGGGGGGAAACCCCGAUCCAGCCAUGCCGCGUGCGGGAAGAAGGCCUUCGGGUUGUAAACCGCUUUUGUCAGGGAAGAAACGCUCUGGGCUAAUACCUUGGAGUAAUGACGGUACCUGAAGAAUAAGCACCGGCUAACUACGUGCCAGCAGCCGCCGUAA